CUCCUUGUCAUGGGCGGCGCCGUUGUCGGCAGGGCCGUUUCUUCUUCGAAUUACCACGCACGCGCGUCUUGUUUGUUGCUAAUCAACUAGUGAUUUGGGUGAUUUUGGGUUGCUGUUAGUUUUGCUUCUGCAAUUUAAUGCUGUCAAUGCUCUUUCCCGUUUGGUGGAUCAACUAAUUGCUUACAAAUCCAGCAGGCAUGAAUGCUUACUUUUACAGAUUUGUUUGACUGACUUCCUCAAAUCUAGCUCGUGUCUAUUUGUUGGAUGUGGAUCAAGUCUCCCUAUGUCGAUGAGUUCUAGAUUCCAGUUCACCAUGUUUCGCUUAUGAAUGAAUGCGCUAGAAGUAGAACAUAAUCUGUUGCAUUGGUGGUUACUUUAUACAUUUUCUGAUUGGUCAAUCAGCUAGUUAGCUACAGUUUACCUUGAUCAAGGAAUGUCGAUGGUCAAAUAAUUUACGUCCAUUCUCCAGAUCUUAACAUGUGGUUCUUGGAUAGGUCCCUUUUUGAACCGUUUUUUAUCUGAAUCCCAUGAAAAAGUAAAUGAGCCUAGUUUUUUUAACAGGCAUGCUGUCUUAUUAAAUCAGGGGGAAAUUAUUGACUGGAUAUGCGUUUUAUUUUGUGAAGUUAGUGGAUGUUGAUCAAGUCCCCCUUUCCGCUGUAUGAAACGUUUCUCCUGUUGUACUUCUUAAAAAGCUUUCUGCUGAUGGCAGGAAGAAGAAGGCUGUUCACAAGAAGAUGGCAGGAAGAAGCAGGCUGAUUCGAUUCGAUCCUCAAGAUGCUGGCCUUUCAUGUUUCUUCGCGAGCAUCAGGACAAAGAAGUUGGAAGAAGCAUAGUUCUAGCUCAUGUGAUAAUCAUGUGGUAGACUGUACACUUGUAGAGCUGUUAUCCAAUUGUAAACUUGAUGCUGAUCACAUUGUACGUAUGUUAUAUGAUGUAGCAGAUUGCUUCUUGCUGUUA